rnacentral:rRNA from 1 species
AGAGUUUGAUCCUGGCUCAGGAUGAACGCCGGCGGUGUGCCUAAUACAUGCAAGUCGUACGCACUGGCCCAACUGAUUGAUGGUGCUUGCACCUGAUUGACGAUGGAUCACCAGUGAGUGGCGGACGGGUGAGUAACACGUAGGUAACCUGCCCCGGAGCGGGGGAUAACAUUUGGAAACAGAUGCUAAUACCGCAUAACAACAAAAGCCACAUGGCUUUUGUUUGAAAGAUGGCCUUGGCUAUCACUCUGGGAUGGACCUGCGGUGCAUUAGCUAGUUGGUAAGGUAACGGCUUACCAAGGCGAUGAUGCAUAGCCGAGUUGAGAGACUGAUCGGCCACAAUGGAACUGAGACACGGUCCAUACUCCUACGGGAGGCAGCAGUAGGGAAUCUUCCACAAUGGGCGCAAGCCUGAUGGAGCAACACCGCGUGAGUGAAGAAGGGUUUCGGCUCGUAAAGCUCUGUUGUUGGAGAAGAACGUGCGUGAGAGUAACUGUUCACGCAGUGACGGUAUCCAACCAGAAAGUCACGGCUAACUACGUGCCAGCAGCCGCGGUAAUACGUAGGUGGCAAGCGUUAUCCGGAUUUAUUGGGCGUAAAGCGAGCGCAGGCGGUUGCUUAGGUCUGAUGUGAAAGCCUUCGGCUUAACCGAAGAAGUGCAUCGGAAACCGGGCGACUUGAGUGCAGAAGAGGACAGUGGAACUCCAUGUGUAGCGGUGGAAUGCGUAGAUAUAUGGAAGAACACCAGUGGCGAAGGCGGCUGUCUGGUCUGCAACUGACGCUGAGGCUCGAAAGCAUGGGUAGCGAACAGGAUUAGAUACCCUGGUAGUCCAUACCGUAAACGAUGAGUGCUAGGUGUUGGAGGGUUUCCGCCCUUCAGUGCCGGAGCUAACGCAUUAAGCACUCCGCCUGGGGAGUACGACCGCAAGGUUGAAACUCAAAGGAAUUGACGGGGGCCCGCACAAGCGGUGGAGCAUGUGGUUUAAUUCGAAGCUACGCGAAGAACCUUACCAGGUCUUGACAUCUUGCGCUAACCUUAGAGAUAAGGCGUUCCCUUCGGGGACGCAAUGACAGGUGGUGCAUGGUCGUCGUCAGCUCGUGUCGUGAGAUGUUGGGUUAAGUCCCGCAACGAGCGCAACCCUUGUUACUAGUUGCCAGCAUUAAGUUGGGCACUCUAGUGAGACUGCCGGUGACAAACCGGAGGAAGGUGGGGACGACGUCAGAUCAUCAUGCCCCUUAUGACCUGGGCUACACACGUGCUACAAUGGACGGUACAACGAGUCGCAAGCUCGCGAGAGUAAGCUAAUCUCUUAAAGCCGUUCUCAGUUCGGACUGUAGGCUGCAACUCGCCUACACGAAGUCGGAAUCGCUAGUAAUCGCGGAUCAGCAUGCCGCGGUGAAUACGUUCCCGGGCCUUGCACUCACCGCCCGUCA